rnacentral:lncRNA from 1 species
UUUAUAUGAGUGUGCAUUUUAUAGUCUGAAAUCUAAUUUCUCAAGGAAAAAAUCAUCUCUCAAAGCAUAUUUUACAGUGUGCAUUUUAGAUAAGUUCCUUUCAAACCUUGUGUUUCUUUUGUAAUAAGGUUUGAGAUGAUAUAGUCUUCAACAACUCCCUCCCUCUUUUCUCGCAGAUAUUCUCCUACAAUACCUUCUGCUCUAUAAUCAUUCUCCUGAGCAACUCAUCCAUAUAAAUUUGGACCUGGGUAAUUUCUAUGGGAUUUUCAUUCUUGUUAGUGGCGGUGAGAGGAUUCAGAGGUCUUUCAAAAACCCAUUAAACCCUUAAAACUAGUCCUAUCAUUAUUAAACAUCUACACUGCAAUUAAAUUUUUAUCCCUCUCAAACUACACACAUAAACAUAAACACUAACAAAAACAUCAUUAGAUUACAGUAGGGUAUCCACACCACCUUCUAAGUUCCUCAAUCUUAUUAGUUUGGACCCAUCAAACUUAACUGUAAAAGUUAAAAUCUUAUUUUAAUGAUCAAUGCCUAAUCGGUAAAAAAAUAAAAUUCAAAAAAUCAUUGUACUUUAUGAGUAUUUGUCAUGAUAACCUGAUCACUAAUACAUACCUUACACAUAUGAAAAUGGAUCCAUCCAUUUGCAUGCACCUUAUUCUUCUU